GACGAACGCUGGCGGCGUGCUUAAUACAUGCAAGUCGAGCGAACAGAUGAGGAGCUUGCUCCUUUGACGUUAGCGGCGCGCGGGUGUGUAACACGUGUAAAACCUACCUAUAUGACUGGGAUAACUUCGGGAAACCGGAGCUAAUACCGGAUAAUCUAUUGAACCGCAGGGUUGAAUAGUGAAAGACGGUGGUGCUGUCACUUAUAGAUGCAUACGGGCCGCAUUAUCUAGUUGGUAAGGUAACGGCUUACCAAGGCAACCAUGCGUAGGCGACGGGGGAGAGGGAUCGCCCACCUGGGAACGGGGACAGGGUCCAGACUCCUACGGGAGGCACCAGUCGGGAACCUUCCGCAAUGGGCGAAAGCCUGACGGAGCAAGGCGGCGUGAGUGAUGAAGGUCUCGGGUUCGUAAUACUCUGUUAUUAGGGAAAAACAAAUUUGUAAGUAAAGAUACACGUCUUGACGGUACCGGAUCAGAAAGCCACGGCUAACUACGUG
rnacentral:rRNA from 1 species